UAGCUGAGGAAAAGAAACCAACAGGGAUUGCCUUAGUAGCGGCGAGUGAAGCGGCAAAAGCUCAAAUUUGAAAUCUGGCACUUUCAGUGUCCGAGUUGUAAUUUGAAGAAGGUAUCUUUGGGUCUGGCUCUUGUCUAUGUUUCUUGGAACAGAACGUCACAGAGGGUGAGAAUCCCGUGCGAUGAGAUGACCCAGACCUAUGUAAAGUUCCUUCGAAGAGUCGAGUUGUUUGGGAAUGCAGCUCUAAGUGGGUGGUAAAUUCCAUCUAAAGCUAAAUAUUGGCGAGAGACCGAUAGCGAACAAGUACAGUGAUGGAAAGAUGAAAAGAACUUUGAAAAGAGAGUGAAAAAGUACGUGAAAUUGUUGAAAGGGAAGGGCUUGAGAUCAGACUUGGUAUUUUGUAUGUUACUCUUUCGGGGGUGGCCUCUACAGUUUACCGGGCCAGCAUCAGUUUGGGCGGUAGGAGAAUUGCAAAGAAAUGUGGCACUGCUUCGGUAGUGUGUUAUAGUCUUUGUCGAUACUGCCAGCCUAGACUGAGGACUGCGGCUUCGGCCUAGGAUGUUGGCAUAAUGAUCUUAAGUCGCCCGUCUU
rnacentral:rRNA from 1 species